UACGUAGGGGGCAAGCGUUGUCCGGAUUCAUUGGGCGUAAAGAGCGUGUAGGCGGCCAGGUAGGUCGGUUGUGAAAACUGGAGGCUCAACCUUCAGAGGUCGACCGAAACCAUCUGGCUAGAGUCCGGGAGAGGAGAGUGGAAUUCCUGGUGUAGCGGUGAAAUGCGCAGAUAUCAGGAAGAACACCCGUGGCGAAAGCGGCUCUCUGGAACGGUACUGACGCUGAGACACGAA
rnacentral:rRNA from 1 species